rnacentral:rRNA from 1 species
CCUUGCUGAUCCUACUAGUAGUCAUAUGCUUUCCUCGAAGAUUAAGCCAUGCAUGCGUAAGUAUGAACUAAUUUAGAUAGUGAAAUUGUGAAUGGCUCAUUAAAUCAAUUAUAGUUUGUUUAAUGGUAUCCAGUACUCGGAUAACUAUAGUAAUUCAAGAGCUAAUACAUGCAACAAACCCUGACUUCUGAAAAGGAUGUAUUUAUUAGAUAAAAGGUCGAGGUGAGCUUUGCCCAUUGCUCAAGGAUUCAAGAUAACUCAAUGGAUCGCACAGCCAUUCCAUUGGUGAUGCAUCAUUCAAAUUUCUACCCUAUCAACUUUUCUUGGUAGGAUGUGGCCUCCUAUGGUACUGACAGGUGAUCGAGAAUUAGGGUUUGAUUUUGGAGAGAAAGCUUGAGAAAUGGCUACCACAUCCAAGGAAGGCAGUAGGCAUGCAAAUUAUCCAAUCUUGACAUAGGGAGAUAGUGACAAUAAACAACAAUACCAGGCUGUAUAAGUUUGGUAAUUAGAAUGAGUACAAUCUAAAUCCCUUAAUGAGGAUCCAUUAGAAGGUAAGUUUAAUGCGAGUAGCUAUAGUAAUUCUAGCUCCAAUAGCAUAUAUUUAAGUUGUUGCAGUUAAAAAACUCAUAGUUAGAAUUAGGGUUGGGUCAUCUAGUUACCUCAUGAUAAGCACUGGUAUACUUAUCCCUACUAUCGAUGAGGCACUCUUGGCCUUAAAUAACUGAGUCAUUCCUUUGGCACUAUUAUUUUGAAGAAGUUAAAGUGCUCAAAGCAGGCCUAUGCUUGUAUACAUUAGCAUGGGAUAACAUCAUAGGAUUUCGGUCCUAUUGUGAUGGCUUUUAAGAUCAAAAUAAUGAUUAAUAGGGAUAGUUGGGAGCACUCAUAUUUCAUAGUCAGAGGUGAAAUUCUUAGAUUUAUGAAAGAUAAACACUACAAAAGCAUUUGCCAAGGAUGUUUUCACUAAUCAAGAACAAAAGUUAAGGGCUCGAAGAUGAUCAGAUACCAUCCUAGUCUCAACCAUAAACGAUGUACACCAAGGAUUGACGAAUGUUACUUUUAAGACUCUGCCAGCACUUUAUGAGAAAUCGAAGUCUUUGGGUUUCAAAGGGAGUAUGGUCACAAGUUUGAAACUUAAAGGAAUUGAUGGAAAGGCACCACCAAGAGUGGAGCUUAUGACUUAAUUUGACUCAACAUGGCGAAACUUACUAGGUCCAAACAUAGAAGGAUUGAUAGACUAAAAGCUCUUUCUUGAUUCUAUGGGUGGUGGUGCACGGCCAUUCUUAGUAGGUGGAGUGAUUUGUCUGGUUAAUUUUGUUAAUGAACGAGACCACAACAUGCUAACUAGCUAUAUAGAGAUGAUCCUUCAUGGCUAGCUUCUUAGAGGGACUAUGGUCGUAUAGGCCAACAAAGUUUGAGGCAAUAAUAGGUUUGUGAUGCCUUUAGAUAUUCUAGGCCGCACACUUACUACACUAAUGUAUUCUAUGAGUCUAUAGCCUUAGUCGAUAGGCCCAAGUAAUCUUUGAAAUUUCAUCGUGAUGGGGAUAGAUCGUUGCAAUUGUUGGUCUUCAAUGAGAAAUUACUAGUAAGUGUGAGUCAUUAGCUCGCGUUGACCACAUCCUUGUCCUUUAUACACACCACUCGUCACUCCUACUAAUUGAAUGGUCUGGUUAAAUGUUCAAAUUAUGGCAUCGUGGAUAGUUCACUGGCCAUGAUGUCACAAGAAGUCCACUAAACCUUAUCAUUUAGAGAAAGGAAAAGUCAUGGUUUUCAUAGGUGAACCUACAAAAG